GCUGGGCACGGUGGCUCGUGCCUGUAGUCUCAGCUACUCGGGAGGCUGAGGCUGGGGAAUCGCUUGAGUCCAGGAGUUCUGGGCUGUAGUGUGCUAUGCCAAUCAGGUGUCCACAUUAAGUUCGGCAUCAAUGUGGUUACCUCCCGGGAGCAGGGGACCAAGUUUCCUAAGGAGCGGUGAACUGGCCCAGGUCGGAAACAGGAGCAGGUCAAAACUUCUGUGCUAAUCAGUAGUGGACCGCCCUGUGAAUAGCCACUGCACUCCAGCCUGGGCAGCAUAGCAAGACCCUGUCUCUA
ensembl:misc_RNA Metazoa_SRP Metazoan signal recognition particle RNA